UACGGAGGGUGCAAGCGUUGCUCGGAAUUAUUGGGCGUAAAGGGUAGGUAGGUGGUCUCAUUUGUCUGGGGUGAAAUCCUUGGGCUUAACCUAAGAAGUGCCCCAGAAACGGUGAGACUGGAGUCUCGGAGAGGGUCGUGGAAUUCCCGGUGUAGCGGUGAAAUGCGUAGAGAUCGGGAGGAACACCAGAGGCGAAGGCGGCGACCUGGACGAGUACUGACACUCAACUACGAAAGCGUGGGGAGCAAACAGG
rnacentral:rRNA from 1 species